AUGCUGCUUGACCCCGGGGUUCUGGCUGGAGCACCCGAGCAGGGGAGGUACCGCAGCUCGUGGCGCGGGGGGGGGGGGGGGGGGUGGAGACGAGGCGGACUUUCCCGGGGAAAACCAAGAGCACCACUUCGGUUAUCCCAAGUGCAGGGCCCCCAUCUCCUGCAUCCCGGUGGGAAGGCCGGCGCAGGGCUUCGGAGGAGGAAAAGGCCGCCCGCGGGGUCGGGCCGCGGGCUCCUCACGCGCAGACAGCUCCCGGGCUGCUGGGGGCCGACAGAGCAGGGCCCGCGCCGCCCCCGCCGCCGCCGCCCGGCCGCCCCACUCACCUCGAGCGCCUGGCCCAGCUCCAGGUCGAAGGUGACCACGCACACGCACUCCAGCCAGGCCGAGAAGCGCGCCCAGGGCGCCGCCGCAGCCCGCUCCGGGGGACGCCGCGUCCAGGCGGCCGCGAGCCCGGCGAGGCCCGGCGCGGGACAGCGCGUCCAUGGCUGCCGGGACUGCACCCGCCGCGCGUUGCCGGGGGAACGGUUCCGAGGCGUUGCCGGGGGAACAGCCCGGAGGCGGUGGCCUCGGCACCGGAAGGGACCGCGCCGCGGAGCAGUCGAGCGGCCGCCUCAGACCAGAGGUGCCCACCGCGGCCUCCGCGCCCCUGGUGGCCGGAGGAGUGCAGUGCGGCGGAGCGGCGCCCAGCUCACCAGCGAGAAGGGCCCGCUCGGGCCAGAGAGGCCAGAGCCAGGGGGAGGAACUCCGGGGAGGGCGGUGGCUGCGCUGUGGGAGACCCUGGGAAGUUGGGUCCGACGGGGGUCGGGGUUUCCGGGGGCGCGGCGCGGCGGAGCUGAGCAGGGUGUGGACUGGAGGCUGGCCGGAGCGUGUGCUGCCGGCUUUCACAACCAGAGUGCAUCGUCGCUGACACCCUGCCAGCCGUCAGACACGGAUUCCAGCCUAAUUGGAACACAUUGCCUAGCGAUUCCGGGUCUCCCGCUCUUGUUCUCCCUGGGGUCGCCUCGAGGCGUGGGGUCCGCGCACGGUGUCAGGUCGUGGGCUCGCAUGGCAGCACUGACCGGGGCAUCGUUGUCUCCAGGGCCUCGCCCUCCGUGCGGCCCACGCCCGCCUCUGCCUCGCCUCUGUGACCCGGUUGGGCUGCCUUGCACGCCCAGGCCUGUCGAUGGAAACCGAGUAGAAUGCCUGCAUCAGCUAUCGUGCGAGCCACCUGCGCCGCGAGGGAGACGCCAGGCGGCCAGGCCAAGUCCCCGCUCCCCCAUGGCCUCCCGUCUUCCUCCAGCGCUCCUUGUUGGCGGAGCCUUGCCGGCGGUAAUGUCCCCUCCCCCGCAAAGUGGCUGCAGACGCCCCUUCAGUCCCCCACCUCCCAAGUGCGGAGCUGAGAGCAAUUUACCCGAUCAGACGUGCCCUGUGUAUUUGAGUUUGUAUGAAAGCUCCCCCUCCAAAUUAGGCUAA
rnacentral:lncRNA from 1 species